rnacentral:lncRNA from 1 species
GGGACGGGCCGUUGAACUGAGAGCUCGUGCCUCGCGUCGUCGGCGACUCCCGUUCCGUUCGCUCUUGAGCGUCUCCGAACGGCGCCGGUUCGCAGUGCGCGAGCGUGGUUCAUGGUCGGUGCGGCGUUGCUUCGCCGGCGCGCUGUGCAGUAAAACGCCGGCACCCACGGCGCGAUCCUUGCACGAGUUCCGCCGAGACGCAUCGAUUGGAUUAAGUUCUGCGGCGUUGCUUACGGCAAGGCCGGCCAUGGACGGCAACCCAGGGUCAGGCUGGCACAGCUGCUGACGUCUGGCUGCUAUCCGGAGAGAGAGGUCCUGUGAACCGCACAUACGAAAGCAGUCAUCUGCCCGCUAAAGCGCACACAUUGCCGAAGUCUUGGACGGAGCACCGAUUAUGGUGGCUCCCAUCUCGACCGAUGUCACGAAGCAGGAGAACCACAAGCGAACCGAGAUCACUACCAUGACAACGCUGCCAUCGCAGCAGCAGCACCAGCAGUCGCAGAAAGAAGAAAAGAAAGACGGUCAGCUUGGAUUGACUUCGAUAGAAGGCGACAGCCACCCAGGGGGCAUCUCGACGAGCCACAAUCCCGGCUACGCGAGCUUCGUCGACGAGUCCGACAUGGUGGUCCUGAGACUACUCGAGCUCUUACACAGCGUUCUAUUGUUUGGCAUGAAACUCCUCAAGAGCCACGGUCGAUACGCUUACUCGGCAUCGUAACCAAUGCUACAAGCUCCGAGUACAUGGACAGACUUAUGGCGAGGAACUAUACAUUGCAGAGGCGCCUCCCUCAGUGCGACGGCCGAGCUCGAUUAGUGCGCAGAUCGCGAAGUACCGAGUACUCGUGCGGCACAUUAUGCAUGCUCAGCAGAUAACAGUCUCUUGCCAAGCUCAAUCUAUACACGUACUGAAUCAAGAAGGCGCCUCGUGUAGCUUUUUUUUUCUUCUUUUUUUCUUUGUAAACGCGAGAUCAGACACGACAUCACCAAGGUCCCAUGACGGGCCGCAUAGUCUUUUUACAUUAAUGUUUUUUCCUUCCUACGUAAUAUUCCUUUUAUGAUUCUAGUUAGAUGGCAAAAAUGGCGAAGAACAGCUCGCGGAACGAGUAUUUGUAUUAUAUACCUUAGAUAUAGCAGAACAGCUUUGCUAACCAGCUGUUUGAAAUGCAAACCAUGCGUGUUCUUUUAAGGACUCUUGUGCAAAUCCCUUGCAUAUUUAAAUCAUGAAGUCAUCGAAUAUUCGACAAUCUGUAAUAGCAAGUGCGCAAACAUAUCAAAUGCAUUCCGCGUCCAAAUCAGUGACAUUCCUUAAGAACAGUAUCGGAAUGUGUAAGCUUCUUGCGCGAAUAAUGGUGUUCAGCCAAGUGCACACAACUAGAACAUUUUCUCUGCGUACCAACGUGUGAAUACCAAACAUCUGUAAUAGAUCUCAGCAAUUACUGGCAGCUUCUGGUAGCAACAAGUCCAGCGCGACAAAGAUACACUGGAAACCGCAUUGACAUCCUGGGAUGAAAGUCAAGAAAUUCUGUCUCUAAGGCGAGUGAAAUUAACACGCGCAAUACGUAAUACGUUAAAUGUGAGUUCCAGAAAAACGAGCAUAGUAUGUCGCAGAUUGUUAGCAGCAUUUGUUCCAUUGACGCCCUUCGUCUAUGAUCUCACACAAGUCGAUUAAGUGUCGACGCGGAAUGGGAAUAAACAGUUAAACGAUCCUUCAAUGUGCACUUGCAUCAUUUAGUGGUUUAAGAAUUUCUAUAUGAGAAAAAUCAUUCCGUAGCCCACUUAAAUUACGGCAUACGAAGCAACCAGGGUGCCGGAGCGAAUGUGGGCUUACAGGGGCCAGCCACGUGUCGCAGUGUGCGCUAAAGCACCUGACCGAAAUGUGUUAGCGUCGCAAUGCCUAGCCUCUUCAGACUUGUGAACGCUUAAAUAUCACCUAUCAGUGUAAUGCGUGGUCUUACCUUCAACAAACAUUGCCUACACAUGUUGCGCAGUUAAUGUUUCAGAAAUGUUUCGGCUGAAUGACACAUGCGUUGGGAUACACCGAGUAAGUGCUUCUGGCAAAAGGUGAAUGCUUGGCAGACAGGCGUUUCUUGCAUAUUAUAAAGCGCCUCGGUGCAAUUCUGGGCCUCAUCACUUAUGAUGGUGAAGGAAUCGGAAGCAGUCUCCACACGGGGUCGCCCCUGUCUUACAAGGCAAUCAAAAGGCAAUCAAAAGGCAAUCAAAAGAAUAUCCAGGCACAGCCCGUCAAUACACUGUAUUUUUUGAGCCCCAAGUCGCCACAUGAAAAAUCUUUCCCCGUGAACGAUUUGUUAUGCCAACUUUACGGUGCCCACUGGCGUCCAGUAGUCCCGCAUCUUCAUUGGUUGCAAAGUUACUUGUUAUAUAUUUAAAUGUUGUGAAGAUUUAUUGUUUUAUUUAUAUUAUUUAUAUACAAAAGAAGAUGUGUCCUUUCCCACAAUAAAAUGAUGUACAACUGGCUGACUUUGAAGCCAACUGCGCAAUGUAAAUAAAACAAAUUUGUACUGAAAUCAGUACGGAUCCCGCAAGACUGAGCCGUGAUUCCUUUCACAGUCAAAAACACACACCUUUUUAUUUUGUCACAGUGCCAUUUUGUCACAGUAUCAUUUUGUCAUAUCCAACAAAAAUAUAAUUUACGUUAAGUUUGAAACGCAAAUACUGAGACUUGGAACAUGAACAUAGAAUAUAGUUUACCAGUUCAGAGCCUUCCUUCAGGAAGGCGUACGUUCAGAACAACGAAAGCUGAACGUCUUCAUAAGCAUGCUGGGGUGAUGCAACGUAAAAAUCGUGUACUUUCUCGUAACCGCUAGGAAAUAAAAGCCUUAUCGAUUUGA